rnacentral:rRNA from 1 species
UACGGAGGGAGCUAGCGUUGUUCGGAAUUACUGGGCGUAAAGCGCACGUAGGCGGCUUUGUAAGUUAGAGGUGAAAGCCCGGGGCUCAACCCCGGAAUUGCCUUUAAGACUGCAUCGCUAGAAUUGUGGAGAGGUAAGUGGAAUUCCGAGUGUAGAGGUGAAAUUCGUAGAUAUCGGGAGGAACACCGGUGGCGAAGGCGGCGACCUGGUUCGAUACUGACACUGAGGUGCGAAAGCGUGGGGAGCAAACAGG